UCAAGUAGUAGCCAACCAAUUAAAAGUGAGGUAGUAAAAUUGAGCUCGUGUUCUCUUUCGUGUUCCUUGGUUUGCAGCUGUUUCUAGUCUGCUCUGGUCUGCUUUGAGGGUGCGGGUCUGCUCUGCCGAUCUGCUCUAUUGAUCUGCUCUGGAGCGUGUUUCUCCGCUGCUCUGCUUUAGAGUUUCCCAGCUGAGGCUGGUUUGCUCUGGCUCUGGAGAGCAGACGUUGGCGUCUAUGGUGCUUGCUGCUCUGACAAUGUCUACUCUGACGUUGUCUGCUCUGGCUUACCGCUCAGCUCUGGUGUUUGCUGCCCUGGCGUGGUCUGUUUAGGAGUUUCCUGCUCUGUCACUUUUGUGCUCUGGCUCUGCUG
rnacentral:lncRNA from 1 species